rnacentral:Y_RNA from 1 species
GGUUCAUCCGAGUGCAGUGGUGUUUACUCCUAAUUGAUUACAACUGUUUGCAGAUUCCUUUGUUCUUUCUUCACUCCCACUGUUUCACUUGACCAGCUUUAA